AUUGAACGCUGGCGGCAUGCCUUACACAUGCAAGUUGAACGGCAGCAUGGAAGAGCUUGCUCUUCUGAUGGCGAGUGGCGAACGGGUGAGUAAAGCAUCGGAACGUACCGUGUAGUGGGGGAUAACGUAGCGAAAGUUACGCUAAUACCGCAUACGCACUGAGGUGGAAAGCAGGGGAUCGCAAGACCUUGCGCUAUACGAGCGGCCGAUGUCUGAUUAGCUAGUUGGUAGGGUAACGGCCUACCAAGGCGACGAUCAGUAGGGGAUGUGAGAGCAUGAUCCCCCACACGGGUACUGAGACACGGACCCGACUCCUACGGGAGGCAGCAGUAAGGAAUAUUGGACAAUUGGUCGGAAGACUGAUCCAGCCAUGCCGCGUGAAGGAUGAAGGCGCUCAGCGUUGUAAACUUCUUUUGUACGGGAACAAAAUGCGACCUGCGGGUUGUACUGAGGGUACCGUAAGAAUAAGCACCGGCUAACUCCGUG
rnacentral:rRNA from 1 species